rnacentral:lncRNA from 1 species
GUACCGCUUCCAAGUCAAUAUCUCUGUCCAAAGACUAGAUAUUGAUGUUGUGCUUGGUAUCUUGUGAUGGACCCUACCACUAUUUGAGAUUAUUAUUAUUUGCAUAUUAAAGAUAUUCAUGUGAGCUAUUCAUAAUAAAUGUUCUCUAAUUCAGUUUCAGGUUCUGCUGCUAAUAUCUCUGCUAGCAUCAAUUCAAUUCCAAUGUUAAAUGGCAUAAACUUCAGGGCAUGGCAAGAGAACGUUAUGAUUGUUCUCGGAGUCAUAGACCUAGACCUUGCUUU